rnacentral:rRNA from 1 species
CGGAGGGCUAGCGUUGUUCGGAAUUACUGGGCGUAAAGGGCGUGUAGGCGGCGGAUCAAGUCAGGCGUGAAAGCCCCGGGCUCAACCUGGGAUGUGCGCUUGAUACUGAUUUGCUAGAGUCCGGGAGAGGCGAGUGGAAUAUCCAGUGUAGAGGUGAAAUUCGUAGAUAUUGGAUGGAACACCAGUGGCGAAGGCGGCUCGCUGGACCGGAACUGACGCUGAGGCGCGAAAGCGUGGGAGCAAACAGGAUU